UUUCCGUAGGUGAACCUGCGGAAGGAUCAUUACAGUGUUCUCUGCCCUCACGGGUAGAAACGCCCACCCUUGUAUAUUAUAUCUUUGUUGCUUUGGCAGGCCGCCCUCGGGCACCGGCUCCGGCUGGAUCGCGCCUGCCAGAGGAAACCCAAACUCUGAAUGUUAGUGUCGUCUGAGUACUAUCUAAUAGUUAAAACUUUCAACAACGGAUCUCUUGGUUCUC
rnacentral:misc_RNA from 1 species